rnacentral:misc_RNA from 1 species
GUAAAGUUACUCUAUUUGUGACCUAGAGGUCACGGGUUUGAGCCAUGGAGACUGCCUUUCUACAAAGCAAGGGUAAGUCUGCACACAUCAACCCUUCCCAGAGCUUGUGGGAUGUUUAAUGAAUUGGGUCACCUGUCUUUUUCAUGUAACACUUAAAACCCUUAUUGUGACUGCACAAGUGCCUUUUUAAUUAUUUAUUUGUAGUUUAUGGGCACUGUUAUAUUAUGGUGGUGCUGUAGUCGAUCUUAUUUGUGGUCCUUAAUUAUAAUAUAACUGAAGUAUGAUAAUAUACUAAUUGCCUCAAGUUUUAUCAGAUAUCUAAAUUUUAUUUUUUGCUUAAAUUGGAAGAAUCAGACAUUUGAAAAGAUA